rnacentral:lncRNA from 1 species
UGACUCACAUUUACCACUGUCUUGAAGUCCCUUUAAGGACCAUUUUCUCUUAUUUAAUAUGCCUUUAAUGUGCUAUUAGACUAACCAUUUACUUAUAAUAGUGCUUCAUUUACCUAAAGCACCAUUUCUACAGCUUUAUUUUGCAACUAGAGAAUCAGUUAUCAAUUUGUUUCUGAAGGGAGUUUAAGAAAGUGGAUACAGGGUGUUGCAUCAAACACAGUCAAAAAGAAAACUCAUGUAUUUAACAUCAAGAGACAGCUUGUGGAAGAACUUAGAAAAACUUUAAAUGCUUCAAAUUUCAGAUAACUAUAAUUUUAAGUAAGUUACUGAAUUUUUUUUCCUAUUCUUUAUCUUUAUGUGAGAGGUAAUCCUCUCACAUAAAGAUGCUUAAAGAGAAUUUUGGAAGUUGAACAAGGGAAUUUGAAUUCUAUGAGGAUCUCUCAGCCACACAUAAGCUAACUGGCUGCCAUAGAUACUCUGAUUUCGAUUGACAAAAAAAGAAUCAGGUAAAUGUGUUUUGUUCUUAAAGGAAGUUUAGACCCUAAGCCUCAAGGUAGAUGACCCUGUGCACAAUUAAAGUCACAUACAUACCCCAUCUGGAUAUAUGAAUAUAAUUAGGUAGGGCUCUGGAUCUCUGCUAGUGUCACAAGUCUAUAGCCAUUCCUUUAUUUUGCUAUAUCUUGAAACUGAUUCAUUUCUUCUAUGUAUAGAGAAUUUUGACAUUCUCUCUUCUUAACCUCCAAGUUAUAUACAGCCAACUCCCACCUCAUUCUACAAUGCUCAGUGCUACAAAGGACAACCAUAUUUUCCAGCACAGAACAAACUGCUCAAGCACAUCAAAUCUGGGGCAUAUGUCAGGCAUACAUGGGUAUUAAAAGACCAAGCAUUCUGUCAUCAACUAUUCAAGCUGCAAAGCCCUAGAAUUUAUCUUCUCCCCUCAAUAGCUAUAUAUGUCAUUUUAGCUCUGCGUCUCAUAUUACAAAUAUUACAAAAUAGGACUUAUUUCCUCAAAGUUUUUUUUUUCAAUUGUAACUAUAUCAUGGACUUUAACAAAAUUCACUAGUCUCAAGGGUUAACAGACUUUGGUGAGUUUAUACAAUCAUUCAAAUGAAAAGGUCAAAUCAAACCUUAAAUCAUCUUGAAUGCCUCUUUCUAUCAUUUCACAUCCAAUCGAUUAGCAAUUUUCUUUGACUCAACCUUUGAAAUAGGCCCAGAGUCUGUCUACCUUCACACCUGCAUCGCUGUUACUCAGUCCAAAGCCUCUGGCGUCUACCUGGACUCUUACAAUGGCCUCCAACUGGUCUUCCUUCUUGGCUGACAAACAAUAGUCCAGGCAAUUUUUGAAAAGCAUAGUUCAGAUCAUGUCACCUCUCUGCUUAAAAAACCUUGCAAGGCUUCUCUUCCUACUGAGCACAAAAAUCCCAUCUUAACUGUGAGGCUGGUUCUGAGCUCUGUAUACAUCACCUUUCUUCCUCCCAUUCUCCACUGCCCACUCUAGCUUCCUUGGCCAUCUGGCUGCUCCUUGACUAGCCCAGACACAAUCCCACCUCUGAGCUCUUUUCACCUGUUUGCUCUACUGCAAAGUCUCUUCUCCUAGAUAUAAGCCUGCACAGUGCCUGCUUCUCAUUCAGGUCUAAAAGUCACCUCCUCUCCAAGGCGUCUUUGACCAUCUAAUCCAAAUUAGGAUGUCCAUGGCCAUUCUUGAAUUUAGAUUGCUUUGCUUUGCUGCUUAGAAAAAGUUUAGCAUGUACAAUACGUAGCAUACCUAGUAUCCAUUUUUAGGGACAGAAACAGAAUGGAAAUGAUAGCCAGGACCUCAUCUAUUCCUUCAAUACAACAUUUACUGUCCCUUUGUGCCAGACACAGUUCUCGAUACUGAUGAUACAACCAAUGACAAAAUAAGUAAAAAUAUCUGACCUAAGGGAGUUUAUAUUCCUAAUCGGGAGAGAUGUAAAGUAAAAUAUAAUCUGAUGGCAGUGACUGCUUUGCAGACAAAAAAAUCAGGGAAAGGGAAAGUGGAUGUGGCAAGGCAGAGAAGAGGGAUUCUGGUUGCCAGUAGAGGAGGCAGGAAAAGCAUCACUAAGAAGGUGACAUUUGAGUAGGGGCCUUGAUCACUUGUGAUUCCCAGUCUAAUGGUAAGUAUUCACUAGGUAUUUCCUGAGUGAAUGAAUGGAUAAAUGAAAUUAAGGCAGAAUUCCCAAGCAUGCAUCUCAAGCAAAAAAAAUCAAGUGUCUAUAUUGCUACUUCUGACAGUGUCCCCAAAAUGUUACUCUGUGAAAAAAAACUUAUUCGUUGGCAAAGGCAACCCAGGGUCAAUUUUGCAUAAUUCCUAAGUGGCUUUUAGUAAGUAUGUUAUCCAUAAACAGCUUAUGAACCUCAUAGAUUUAAUCCUUUUAGUUUUACAAAACAAUGUGAUAGAAAAAAGUAUUUUCAAUAUUCCUGGAUAUAGUAAAUAGCAACAGCAUUCUGCUUCCUGCCUGUGAGAGUGGGCAUAUGACAUAUACUUGAACAAUAAAAUAUGCACCAGCCCCUCUAACCAGCAUAUAGGGAGAACAAGCCUAAUCCCAAAGCAAAGCAAUAGCAUUCAGGGUCACGAACAAAGAAAAGGAAAGGAGGAUAGGAUAAGGCAAGCAGGAAAAGAGAAAAAUUAGUCAUGAUUUUGUUUGAGUUCCUAGAUCCAGCUGUACCUGAAACUAUACCCUCAUUGCCACCUGCUUUUAUUGGCUAUAGAGGUUGAAAUUAGUCUCUGAGAUUUGUGACUAAAGCUGAUUUAUGAACACAUUUACAAAGUAAAGGACUAAUUUUUUAUAUGUUUCUCAGCUUUGUUUGGCACAUGCAAAUAUUAAACUAUAAUUCUAUUUGGCUUUAAAUGCAAAAGCAAUGAAUCUUUGAUUUUACCGCAGUAUACUUGGAUAUAUAAUUUUUUCCACAGCUGAAAAUAUAAUAAUUCUGUGAAACUUUGACUAAUAAUGAUUUUAUUACACAAUUCCACAUCAGGCAAAUAUUUGCAUAUGCCCAAGGACUCACAAUGUUGGUGUAUAGUAAUCCAAAGAUGGAUUACAGUAUUUGGCAUACUUCCUUACUAUGAGGUAUGGGUAAUUUGUCUGGAUUCCAUUUAUGCCACUUUUUACUUAACUUCCAUGCAAUCUUCUAUUGCAAUCUAUCCCACAGAAAAUAAAAAAGUUCUCAAAUAUUUGUAAGCAAGGUACGCAUGAUAUAUAAUGCAGAAUUUGUAUUUAUUAUCAAGAAUAUUCAACACAAUAACUCCAUUUAUUUCUGCCACCUAGUGAUGCAAACAUGCUUUUCUAUAAUAACCAUGUUUUCUUGGGUAAGCUUAUUUUUGCAUGCAUGCUUUAUGAAAGUCUGCCAUGGACCUGAUGACAUCCUACAUGAAUAAGCCAUGAGAAGAUACUCGUGUGGGGUCUUGAGUCAACACUGCCAGACUAGAAAUACCAGGAUUCCUCUCAUUACUACACAUCUGUCACUCACACCCAUGUCUGGGUGGCCAGAAAAUAGUAAGUACUAGAAAGAGAGAUUUGUUUUUCAAUAAAUGAGAGACUAGGAAUGUUUCUUUCUUGCUCUCAUCCAUCGACUUUUAUUCACAUAUCUUGCGUUGUGGAAAAGAAUGCUGUGGCUAGACUUCUGAUUUGACAAAAAGGAGGAGGCCUUGGAAUCCCUCAGACUGAGUCCCAAGUCUUUACAGCAAAGAUCUGAAAUCCCAGAGCUUACAAAUGUAUUUUUAAUGACCUUCCAGUAAGAGAAAAGAGAGAGAAAAUGCUGGCAUGUAGACAUAAAUCCAGGAAGCUGGUUUCUCUACUAGGUGCAUGCAGGGACAAUUCAGUUGAGCACAUCCCAGCUAGUAAUUACCUCACUUUCACUAGAUGAUGCUUCAUGAAACAAACUGGAUGGUUGAAAUAAAGUUUUUAAAAAAUCAGCACAUGGUGAUGGAACCACAUGUGUUAUUCCAAGGAACUAUAACUGGAAACUGAUUCUUUUUUUUUUUUUUUGGCCGUAGUCUCAUUUCAACAAUUUAAGUCACACAUAAAAAAAGCACUCAUUCAUGAAAAGAGAGAAGAAAAUUCUCAAUAACUAAUGAAUUUUUUCAGAAUGGUGAUUCAUCUGUUUGACUUCUGAAACAUAGGUCCUCAUAAGAAUCAAUCAAUAAUUCAACCAUGUAUUAACUUAUUGAGACAUAACCGCUCACUAUUUAUAAUCACUUCCAUCAUCAACAAAAAUGAAGUAGGGAAGAGAGAGAGGAGGGCAAGAAAGGAUGAAGUGAGAAAGGGAGGAAAGAGUGAGGCUGGAAAGGGAAAAGGAUAGAAAAGAACAGAAAAGGAAAGAAAGGAAACCUCAAGGAAAAAAAGAUCAACCUAAAAUUCAUAACUUGAUGUAUUGAUUUCUAAAGUUCACACAAAAAUAUGACAAAUGAGACUAUUUCAAAAUUACUAGAAAGCGUUCAGUCACACACUCACCAAAAGCCGAGCAACAAACAAAACUAUUAAGCAUCUAUCUAUAAAGUGACUUUGACAAACUUAAUAAAAAAAAAAAAGUCAACCCCCAAAAUAAAUGUAAUGAGACUAGAAGAAUUAUUUCUGAAAUGAUUGCCACAGCUGCAUGGUGGUUUUAAGUAAAGCUUUCAGAGUUGCAUUCCUGAGGCUUGAUAAUUGAAACAAUUUGAUUUUCUACACAUAUAAAUAUACAUUACCGUUAAUUAGCAACGUAAAUCAAAAUUGAUACAAAUACUACGGACUGCAACUUUGUUUGCAAACCAUCUCUGGAUUCAGGCAAUUCCCAGAAAGUCUUCUCCAUCAGCACUGCCAAUUGAAAUUUGUUCUAUAAAAUUGCUUUCUCCCUAAUUCCCUGACGGGGACCGGGGGUCAAGCCAUAUACUGAGAGUUUAUUCAGGGGAAGAAGCAGGAAGCAGUUCCACCGCCAUAAAUAAGCCUGUUAUCCUUUGCCAUCUUCUAGGCAGGGAGCUGCUGCUCCUAACUGCAGCAUAGACAUCCCGAUGGCUCAUGUCUGGCCUUGGGAAGCCAAGGUACAGGGAGAGGCAUUAAUCUCCUCUGUUUUAGGGUUGGACAGCUAAUACCUUCUUCAAGAGUAAGAACGGCCACUUGCAUAAAACAUACAGGAUACCUAGAAGGAGGGCGCAGAGAAGUGGAAAAUGAAAAGAAGGUAUAGAAUAUGCUGCCUCUCUCCAUGAACAACAGCCAUCACAAUGAAAGCACAUUGUUUAGGAAUACAGGUCAAACUCUGU